rnacentral:rRNA from 1 species
UACGUAGGGGGCUAGCGUUGUCCGGAAUCAUUGGGCGUAAAGAGCGUGUAGGCGGCCCGGUAAGUCCGCUGUGAAAGUCGGGGGCUCAACCCUCGGAUGCCGGUGGAUACUGUCGGGCUCGAGUACGGAAGAGGCGAGUGGAAUUCCUGGUGUAGCGGUGAAAUGCGCAGAUAUCAGGAGGAACACCUAUUGCGAAGGCAGCUCGCUGGGACGUUACUGACGCUGAGACGCGAAAGCG